rnacentral:rRNA from 1 species
GAGCAAACAGGAUUAGAUACCCUGGUAGUCCAUGCCGUAAACGAUGUCUACUAGCCGUUGGGGCCUUUGAGGCUUUAGUGGCGCAGCUAACGCGAUAAGUAGACCGCCUGGGGAGUACGGUCGCAAGACUAAAACUCAAAUGAAUUGACGGGGGCCCGCACAAGCGGUGGAGCAUGUGGUUUAAUUCGAUGCAACGCGAAGAACCUUACCUGGCCUUGACAUACUAAGAACUUUCCAGAGAUGGAUUGGUGCCUUCGGGAACUUAGAUACAGGUGCUGCAUGGCUGUCGUCAGCUCGUGUCGUGAGAUGUUGGGUUAAGUCCCGCAACGAGCGCAACCCUUUUCCUUAUUUGCCAUCGGGUAAUGCCGGGAACUUUAAGGAUACUGCCAGUGACAAACUGGAGGAAGGCGGGGACGACGUCAAGUCAUCAUGGCCCUUACGGCCAGGGCUACACACGUGCUACAAUGGUCGGUACAAAGGGUUGCUACCUCGCGAGAGGAUGCUAAUCUCAAAAAGCCGAUCGUAGUCCGGAUCGCAGUCUGCAACUCGACUGCGUGAAGUCGGAAUCGCUAGUAAUCGCGGAUCAGAAUGCCGCGGUGAAUACGUUCCCGGGCCUUGUACACACCGCCCGUCACACCAUGGGAGUUUGUUGCACCAGAAGUAGGUAGUCUAACCGCAAGGAGGACGCUUACC